AUUGAACGCUGGCGGCAGGCUUAACACAUGCAAGUCGAACGAGUGGCGGACGGGUGAGUAAUGCUUGGGAAUCUGGCUUAUGGAGGGGGAUAACGACGGGAAACUGUCGCUAAUACCGCGUACUAUAGGAUGAGCCCAAGUGGGAUUAGGUAGUUGGUGGGGUAAUGGCCGACCAAGCCGACGAUCCCUAGCUGGUUUGAGAGGAGGACCAGCCACACUGGGACUGAUACACGGCCCAGACUCCUACGGGAGGCAGCAGUGGGGAAGUUUGCGCAAUGGGGGCAACCUGACCCAGCCAUGCCGCGUGAAUGAUGAAGGCCUUCGGGUUGUAAAGUUCUUUCGGUGACGAGGCGUUAAUCACAGAAGAAGCACCGGCUAACUCCGUGCCAGCAGCCGCGGUAAUAC
rnacentral:rRNA from 1 species